UACGUAGGGCGCAAGCGUUGUCCGGAAUUAUUGGGCGUAAAGAGCUCGUAGGUGGCGUGUCGCGUCUGCCGUGAAAGCCCAUGGCUUAACUGUGGGUCUGCGGUGGAUACGGGCAGGCUGGAGGCUGGUAGGGGCAAGCGGAAUUCCGGUGUAGCGGUGAAAUGCGCAGAUAUCAGGAGGAACACCGGUGGCGAAGGCGGCUUGCUGGGCCAGUUCUGACGCUGAGGAGCGAAAGCGUGGGGAGCGAACAGG
rnacentral:rRNA from 1 species